UACGGGAGGCAGCAGGGGGAAUAUUGCACAAUGGGCGAAAGCCUGAUGCAGCUAUGCCGCGUGUAUGAAGAAGGCCUUAGGGUUGUAAAGUACUUUCAUCGGGGAGGAAAAAACAAAACUAAUAAUUUUAUUUCUUGACGUUACCCGAAAAAGAAGCACCGGCUAACUCCGUGCCAGCAGCCGCGGUAAUACGGAGGGUGCUAGCGUUAAUCAGAAUUACUGGGCGUAAAGAGCACGUAGGUGGUUUUUUUAAAGUCAGAUGUGAAAUCCCUGGGCUUAACCUGGAACUGCAUUUUGAAACUGAAAUACUAGAGUAUCGUAGAGGGAGGUAGAAUUCUAGGUGUAGCGGUGAAAUGCGUAGAUAUCUGGAGGAAUACCUGUGGCGAAAGCGGCCUCCUAAACGAAUACUGACACUGAGGGUGCGAAAGCGUGGGGAGCGAAACAGGGAUUAGAUACC
rnacentral:rRNA from 1 species